UGAGGAAUAUUGGUCAAUGGGCGUGAGCCUGAACCAGCCAAGUAGCGUGCAGGAAGACGGCCCUAUGGGUUGUAAACUUCUUUUAUGCGGGGAUAAAGGAGUCCACGUGUGGAUUUUUGCAGGUACCGCAUGAAUAAGGACCGGCUAAUUCCGUGCCAGCAGCCGCGGUAAUACGGAAGGUCCGGGCGUUAUCCGGAUUUAUUGGGUUUAAAGGGAGCGUAGGCUGUCUAUUAAGCGUGUUGUGAAAUUUACCGGCUCAACCGGUGGCUUGCAGCGAGAACUGGUCGACGUGAGUAUGCAGGAAGUAGGCGGAAUUCAUGGUGUAGCGGUGAAAUGCUUAGAUAUCAUGACGAACUCCGAUUGCGCAGGCAGCUUACUGUAGCAUAACUGACGCUGAUGCUCGAAAGUGCGGGUAUCAAACAGG
rnacentral:rRNA from 1 species